GAAUGAACCGAUCCCAAAGGAGGCUAAACAUUUCUGCUCACAGCGUCCUGAGCUGCAGUUUUGCCAACUGCCCACACUGGGUGAGGCGAAAUAUGUAUGCAACAAGUGACCGGAAGUGGAUGUGCUCCUUACAGGCCUCCAAAUCACAGCCUGCAGCUGCUCGCCUUGAGAAUUCUUAUUAUGGAGAAAAAUAAACCCCUAUCUACUCAAGAGGCUGAUGAUGGCCUGUGGGUGUUUUAAAAACGAAGCAUUUUCAUGAAUUUUGAUAACAAAUAAGUGUUAAUAAAAACAGUUUUAAUAAUAAACAAACACGAGGAUACACUGC